AGGAUAAACGCUGGCGGCGUGCCUAACACAUGCAAGUCGAACGCGCUUGCUAUCCGCGAGGACGGUGAGCGAGUGGCGGACGGGUGAGGAACACGUGGGUGACCUACCUUUCAGUGAGGGAUACCGGCGAGAAGUUGCCGACAAGACCGCAUACGCUUCUCUUUUCAAGGGGAGAAGGAAAGCUUUUCGCAAGAGAGGCGCUGGGAGAUGGGCCUGCGGCCGAUUAGCUAGCUGGUGGGGUAAUGGCCUACCAGGGCGACGAUCGGUAGCUGGUCUGAGAGGACGAUCAGCCACACUGGGAUUGAGAACGGCCCAGACUCCUACGGGGGGCAGCAGUGAGGAAUUUUCGGCAAUGGGGGCAACCCUGACCGAGCAACGCCGCGUGCAGGACGACGGCCUUCGGGUUGUAAACUGCUUUUCUCUGGGACGAGCAAGGACGGUACCAGAGGAAGAAGCCCGGCUAACUACGCGCCAGCAGCCGCGGU
rnacentral:rRNA from 1 species